AUGGUCAAAUGGUGGUGGAAGUUAGAGACACAAAGUGGAUUAUGGCAGGAUAUUGUCCGGGCCAGGUAUCUUCACAACACCUCUGUUGCUGAAAUUUCCCCCAAAUUUUCCGACUCGCCCUGUUGGAAAGCUUUGCUCAAGAUUAAAGACAUCUAUAUGAUGGGCAGAAAGAUUGAAACUGGUGCUGGGAACUUGAUUAGGCUGUGGAAAGAUCCAAUAAAUGGGCUGAUUCCAUUUCAGGAUCAAUAUCCACGUCUGUUUGAGCAAAAGUUCUAUACGGUGGGCUUAGCAGCUGUAUGUUGGGCCAUUUGGUUGGCACGCAAUCGGGCUACUUUUGAAAAGAAACAAAUUAAAACCCCUUUUGAGAUCGUGUUUUCUCUAUGUUCCUUUCUACUCUACUGGACAGGGCUUCAACAAGGAGAGGACACCGUGGAGCUGCGUGCUGGAGCCGAGAUGAUCAGGACUGGGACGAUGCAGCUGAUGAAGAUGUGUGGCGCUGCCAAACAACCAAUCCAAGGUGCCUGA
rnacentral:rRNA from 1 species